AUUGAACGCUGGCGGCAGGCCUAACACAUGCAAGUCGAACGAGUGGCGGACGGGUGAGAAAUGUCUGGGAAACUGCCUGGUGGAGGGGAAUAACUUCUGGAAACGGUAGCUAAUACCGCAUAGCAUCAGAUGGGCCCAGAUGGGAUUGGCUUGUUGGAGGGGUAACGGCUCACCAAGGCGACGAUCCCUAGCUGGUCUGAGAGGAAGACGGGCCACACUGGAACUGGGACCCGGUCAGACCCCCUACGGGAGGCAGCAGUGGGGAUCAUUGCACAAGGGGCGCAAGCCUAAUGCAGCCAUGCGGCGGAUUGGAAGAAGGCCUUCGGGUUGUAAAGUACUUUCAUCGGGGAGGCGUUACCCGCAGAAGAAGCACCGGCUAACUACGUGCCAGCAGCCGCGGUAAUAC
rnacentral:rRNA from 1 species